UUCUUAUCAGAAUUCGUUCAUUAUGAGCCCCAUAAUUCAGUCAUCGGCAAAUAUUUUUAGUUGGUCAAAAUGUAGUCGAGAAGAUAUGGAAAAGUUUAUUAAGUAUGGUUUCGCGUUAUUAUUUAAUUGACAGUGGAUGCUUUAUCAAUGGUCAUUUUUUAGAAAUGAAUCAUCACAGUGUCUUCGAAAUAAGCCAGAUGAUUUUAAUUAUACGAUUGCUAGAUUUUUGCCUGGUAAAUUAAUGGAUGCUGAUCAGCAGUGUCAAAGAAAUGGUGCUACUGGAUUUGUGGUAAUGUAACAUCAAUUUGUACGAUGCUGCAAUGUUACUAUCCAGAAAAAGGCUGUGUUAAAUCAAAUGUGCCAAUUGCUGAUGGAACCCUGUGCGACCCAAAUGCCAUCAAUGAUGUUUACUUGCAAAAAAUUAAAUUUCGUCUGCACAUUUGAACCAAUUCAUGGACGACGAAGUAGAAGAGGAUGACUCUGAUAACUUGGAAAGCGACACAAAGAUGGAGUUACAUGUAAUCGUUAAAUAGCGACGAACCAAUCACGAAGAGCCUCAAGAAGGGUAAAGAGAAGCUAAAACCUUAAAAGCUGCUGUUCCGAAGUACUCAUCAGACUGGUAAUGUCUCAGUAAUUAAACCAGUGAAUCGGUUUUUUAUUGAACGC